rnacentral:lncRNA from 1 species
AUGGCAUGCAAUUUCAUCCUAGAGCUCCUGCAGAGAGGUUUGUUUUUGACAAACUCGUGUUUUUCUGCUGAAAACAGCCCUCCCCGGCUGCGCUCUGGGAUUUGCGGUCUGGCAGGAGCCCGCUCGUUCCUCACCGACCUGUGGCUGCCGGAGUUCCCCUCCUGGCCGCGCGCGAUUGCUCAAGCGCUGUGGCAAUCCUCAGGCAGCUCCAGAAACACUCAGAACAUGACUGCCUGUGAGGGAAGCAAAAGGACAGGGUAUUCCCUGCAGCACAGCCGGUCCCGUUGGGCCUCCCCUGGAGGGAGUAUCAGGGGGAAAAGUUCUGGCAGGCGGCGAAGCACCCGGCCCCGGCAGAGGCCGCCGGGCGCUCCGNGAGCGCUGCCAGAGCCGGAGGCGGCCCGAGCCGGGGCCUGGGCACAAACAGCUCCUCCGUCCAGCAGGGCGCGGAGCCGGGCCUCGGAACGGCCUGGGACAGGGGGGCAGCGGGCCCCGCGCUUCCCGGGAGGUCGGCUCUUCCAGAGGGGACCGGGGGCCUCCUCCUCACCAGGGCAGCUGAAAAAGCUUGUCCAUGGACUGCUGGGAGGCUUGAGAGCCACACACCAUUUCCACAGCUGACAGUUCUGAGUGAGAAGGUUUGUUCAUAAAGAUGUGUUUAGAUACUUUUCUCAGAACUAGUUUUCCUAAGUAAUUACAGAAUUAUUACCCAGCCCCCCAAUUUCUUGUUACUAAUAUUUUUCCUUGCUUUCCGUUUCCCCUUCCCCCAGCAUUUUUCCAGACUGGGUUUUUGCGUGUCAGCCAUGCAGGCCAGCAGUUCUGGCCCAGGGUCCAUUUUCCCUCCCAUACUGUGUCUUUCUCUGCUGUGCAGGCACUUCUGUAGUCAGCUUGUGAAAGAAAAUGUGAUAAUUAACAGAAAGAAACUUAAUCAUUGCUAUGAGUGGAAGAAGACAGGUUGUAACAACCCUUGGCUAUUGGCAGCAGAAGGAAUGAAAUGACAGGCAACAGUGCCUGCUGCUCUUUCCCUUCUUACAUAGCAGAAACAUCAAAUUUUAAGUAGCAAAACCUCAGGGGUAAGUGAGAAGCUGUGUGAACAGUUAUGAACAAGGAUCUCAUAAAUAAACCUGACCUAUCAUAAUUCCA